rnacentral:rRNA from 1 species
CGAGUNACCUNGCGAAGGGAUCAUUAUGAGUUUGAAGUGGGCUUGAUGCUGGCUUCCNUUUAUUGGGAAGCAUGUGCUCAGCCUUGCUCAAAUCCAUUUACACCUGUGCACUUUCAAAGUUGUAGUCCUCCGUCAUGGGAGCCGCACCGUCAAGGUUGCUGGGAUUACGCUUUGCCUUAAUCACAAACCAUGUAUAUUGUUUUGUAGAAUGUCUAUGCCUUUGUGGCAGAAAUCAAUACAACUUUCAACAACGGAUCUCUUGGCUCUCGCAUCGAUGAAGAACGCAGCGAAAUGCGAUAAGUAAUGUGAAUUGCAGAAUUCAGUGAAUCAUCGAAUCUUUGAACGCACCUUGCGCUUCUGGACACCGUCCAGGAGCAUGCCUGUUUGAGUGUCUUGAAAUCAUCAACCCUCUUUGCUUUUUGUAAAGGGUGGUUUGGACUUGGGGAUCUGCUGGCCUUAACAGGUUCUGGCUUCCCUUGAAUUCAUUAGCUGGACUUUAUUUGUGGCACAUAUGUGGUGUGAUAAUAUCUUCACUGCAUUGCCCAAGUGCAUGACUAGCUUCUAACUGUCUUCAUUGACAAUUUACUUGACNCAUCAGACCUCNAAUCCUUCGA